AUCUGCCCACCUUGGCCUCCCAAAGUGCUGGGAUUACAAGUGUGAGCCACCACACCUGACUUCUGGCGCCAUUUUAAAUUGCACUUCAAUUUUUUUUUUUAGUUUCAGUAAGAAUACACAGCUUAAAAAAAAAAUCCAGAUAGUACCAAAAUGCCAAUAAUGAAUAGCGGUACUUUUUUCUAUAAAGUACUUUAAAAUAAUGGUGAAGCUUUAAUUUGUAAAACAUGCAUGCAUUGUUGGAUCAGUCAGACCAGAACUACUUUGGAUACCACAAAAAGGGCACUUCAGCUGCUCACAAAAAAUAUUCGAUGUCUAUGAAAUCAGAGUUUCAGAGCCAGCAGAGCUGCACCAUCCAGGACCUCCAUGUUGGCUGCAAUGUGCUGCGCACAGCCAAGGAGGUUUUUGAGACAUCUGUGGGCAAAACAAAGUGCCCUGCCCUCAAGGGAGCCCACAUUCUAACAGAGCAUAUCGACAUUUUUAAAAG